rnacentral:rRNA from 1 species
CCUACGGGGUGCAGCAGUCGAGAAUCAUUCACAAUGGGGGAAACCCUGAUGGUGCGACGCCGCGUGGGGGAAUGAAGGUCUUCGGAUUGUAAACCCCUGUCAUGUGGGAGCAAAUUAAAAAGAUAGUACCCCAAGAGGAAGAGACGGCUAACUCUGUUCCAGCAGCCGCGGUAAUACAGAGGUCUCAAGCGUUGUUCGGAAUCACUGGGCGUAAAGCGUGCGUAGGCUGUUUCGUAAGUCGUGUGUGAAAGGCGCGGGCUCACCCCGCGGAAGGCACAUGAUACUGCGAGACUAGAGUAAUGGAGGGGGAACCGGAAUUCUCGGUGUAGCAGUGAAAUGCGUAGAUAGCGAGAGGAACACUCGUGGCGAAGGCGGGUUCCUGGACAGUAACUGACGCUGAGGCACGAAGGCCAGGGGAGCGAAAGGGAUUAGAUACCCUAGUAGUC